rnacentral:tRNA from 15 species
GGAGGUGUCGCCUAGUGGUUUAUGGCACACGCCUGGAAAGCGUGACCCGAAAGGGCCCGUGGGUUCGAAUCCCACCACCUCCGC